GUGCUGCAACUUCUGCAGUUGCUGCAGCGGCUGCAGCUGCUUCAGCUGCUGCAGGUGCUGCAACUGCUGCAGUUGCUGCAGCGGCUGCAGCUGCUUCAGCUGCUGCAGGUGCUGCAACUGCUGCAGUUGCUGCAGCGGCUGUAGCUGCUUCAGCUGCUGCAGGUGCUGCAACUGCUACAGUUGCUGCAGCGGCUGCAGCUGCUUCAGCUGCUGCUGCUGCAGCUGCCGCAGCUCACCGUCAGCUGCUACGAAGUCCUCGAGAAGAAGACAAAAGAC
rnacentral:sRNA from 1 species